GAGCGGUAAGGCCCUUCGGGGUACACGAGCGGCGAACGGGUGAGUAACACGUGGGUGAUCUGCCUUGCACUUCGGGAUAAGCCUGGGAAACUGGGUCUAAUACCGGAUAUGACCUUGAAUCGCAUGGUUCGGGGUGGAAAGAUUUAUCGGUGCGAGAUGGGCCCGCGGCCUAUCAGCUUGUUGGUGAGGUAACGGCUCACCAAGGCGACGACGGGUAGCCGACCUGAGAGGGUGACCGGCCACACUGGGACUGAGACACGGCCCAGACUCCUACGGGAGGCAGCAGUGGGGAAUAUUGCACAAUGGGCGCAAGCCUGAUGCAGCGACGCCGCGUGCGGGAUGACGGCCUUCGGGUUGUAAACCGCUUUUGACAGGGACGAAGCGCAAGUGACUGUACCUGUAGAAUAAGGACCGGCCAACUACGUGCCAGCAGCCGCGGUAAUACGUAGGGUCCGAGCGUUGUCCGGAAUUACUGGGCGUAAAGAGCUUGUAGGCGGUUCGUCGCGUCGUUUGUGAAAACUUGGGGCUCAACCUUAAGCUUGCAGGCGAUACGGGCGGACUAGAGUACUUCAGGGGAGACUGGAAUUCCUGGUGUAGCGGUGAAAUGCGCAGAUAUCAGGAGGAACACCGGUGGCGAAGGCGGGUCUCUGGGAAGUAACUGACGCUGAGAAGCGAAAGCAUGGGUAGCAAACAGGAUUAGAUACCCUGUAGUCCAUGCCGUAAACGGUGGGUACUAGGUGUGGGGCUCCUUCACGGACUCCGUGCCGUACUAACGCAUUAAGUACCCCGCCUGGGGAGUACGGCCGCAAGGCUAAACUCAAAGAAAUUGACGGGGGCCCGCACAACGGCGGAGCAUGUGGAUUAAUUCGAUGCAACGCGAAAACCUUACCUUUGACAUACACCACUGCAAGAUGUCCCGGGGUACGUGCAUGGUGCAGCUCGUUGAGUUGGGUUAAUCCCCAAGCGACAUCUUUUCCGUAGGGGGGGG
rnacentral:rRNA from 1 species